rnacentral:rRNA from 1 species
GCAUGAAGUCGGAAUUGCUAGUAACCGCGGAUCAGCAUGCCGCGGUGAAUACGUUCCCGGGCCUUGUACACACCGCCCGUCACACCAUGGGAGCCGGUAAUACCCGAAGUCAGUAGUCCAACCUCGUGAGGACGCUGCCGAAGGUAGGAUUGGCGACUGGGGUGAAGUCGUAACAAGGUACC